UCUCCAUAACCACGAAAACUGAAUCAGCACACAGCCCAUUUUCCCUAGCAAGCUUAUGACUCUAGACAAAUAAUAUACAUUGACCGAACUGCUUUGCGAUUGAAUGGCAAUGGAGGAAACUACUAGACCAACCAGGUCUAAACCAAGGAAGGGCAGGCUGCCUCCCAAAAGAGGAAGUAUCAAACUAAAAAUAAUAUCCAAGUUCUUUGAGAAGGUGGUUGGAUUUGCAUCAAAAUUAGCAGGACAACAGAAACAAAGGGGCGUGGAUCGAGCAACAACAGAAGAACCAUAUCCUAGACGACUAUGCGCCCAAACUCAAUGCAGCCAAUGAGAUCAUUAUGAUGAGUGUAUGCUACCAGUUUUAUUCUACUAUGUAUAAAUAGUAUUUCUAUGUUGUUCACAUGCCAUGGUUAAACCUACUACAUUAUGCAACCAUGCUUGAUCUCUACUAUAUAACAAUCUUGUGCAAUAAAGAAAUAAUUUUAUGUUACUUAAAUUCACCAUUGGACAAUCAAAUCAUGCAUGCUCUUGAGAUCAG